UUGUCUAUCUCAUCGAAAUCACAGAAUCCACAAGGGAAACGUAACGGGGAAUUUACCGAGGCUAUAAUUAUAGAAGGAUAAACGUGGGAAUCUAUUAUGUGACGUCUCGAGAAAUUUCCUUUUCAUCUUUGCCACGUGGCAACGUGCGCAUAUUAAUUAUUUUCAUUUUAAUGAAAGAGGAAGCCUUCGAAUACUUAUGUACGAAUUGAAGGAAACAUACAAGAUAAUUUCGAAAGGAUUGGGUAAUAUAUAGAAAAAGAGUAAAAAAAAGAGAGAGAGAGAAAGAGAGAGAGAGAGAGAAAGAGAGAAAAGAUUGUUUCGAAAAAGAAAGGCUAUACAAUCAACACGAUCGACGCUAUAAACGAACCGAAUCUAAUCUAACCGAAUCGAACGAAAAACCGAAAGAUAGUUAAUUUACAAAUUCUACCAAUAAUAAUCGUAACAUCCAUCUGUUCGCGGUAUAACGUUAUGGUUAAUUUCGUUCAACGCGAGUAGCAGUCCGGAAAAAGAAUUAUCUAGUCUGCCAUUACUCUCUCUCGUUCUUUUCUUUUUUUUUCCAUACGUAUACACACGCACACACACACAGAGGACAUGUGAGUAAACUAAAUAAAAAAACUAAAAAAGAAAGAAAAAAGGAAAGAAGGAAAGAAAGAAAAGAAAAAUAUUUUCAAAGAGUUCGCAAGGUACGUGCGUGCGGUUGCUUGAGCGCGUAAAAUCGUCGUAGUGACGUUUGACCCUCAUAAAUGUUUCACUCGUGCACCUCGAACCCACGCAAAUUUUACAACGUGCUCCGAGGUGUAUCGAGCAGACCAAACAUCUCAGCGUGAUUUUGUUGGUCAGUUCAACGAAAAAAGAAAAACAAAAAACAGGGAGACUUACGAAAUGAAAGAGAGACGUGCGUCCGGCCGGUUUUCUCGGUCGCAGCAAGCUCGUUCUUAUCGCUUCGUGUCGUUCCUCGCGCCAUGUUGGAUAGAGAGUCGUUGCAAGGCACGGCAAGCUUCGAAAGAAAGAGCGAGAGAGCGAGAGAGAGAGAGAGAGAGAGAGAGAGAGAGAGAGAGAGAGAGAGAGAAGCCGAGUCUCUCCAACCCUUUUCAUCCGAUAGCGGGACAAAGAAAAGGCGACGGUGGCGAGCACGGUGGCGAGUCAAACGAUAUAACCAAGUGCUUUUCAACAGAGAGAGAAAAUCCGUACCGUACAAAGAUUUUUCGAACAAUCACAGUCAAGAGUUAUAAUUCGAUAGAAGCGUUAGAAGUGCAAUAGAGUAUUUCCCACUUGUGAUCUUCCUCUUUUCGUAAGCGUCAGUUCAAGAGAAGAAAAAGAAGAGAAAGAUGAAGAUGAAGAUGAAGAUGAAGAUGAAGAUGAAGAUGAAGAUGAAAAAGAAGAAGAAGAAGAAGGUGUCAGGGUCGUGCCGCUUUCAGGGACGUCGACUUCUCAAACUUGCUUACUUCUUUUUCUUCUUCAUCAUCCUCCACUCCUUUUUCUUUCUAUUCUUUUCCUCUUAUCCCUCCCCUCUUACCCCUCCCCAUUUCCCUCCCUUUUCCCCUGCUCCCUCGAAAUGGGGGUUGGAAGGAACAAUGUAUUUUCGUUUUUCGUACGGCUAUAUAAUUAUGCCGACCGUACGAGAGAAUCGAUUUAUAACGAGUUCAACUCUCGUCGUUGGAUUGGAAUUUAAAAGGAUGACGACAAAAGGAAAAAAGAAAAGAAAAAAAAAAAUUAGAAGAAAACAAUUUUUAUGCCAAGACAAUUUUCAUCCCCAAUCCCCAUUGCACCCUCGGCACCCACAUUAUUUCUCUCAAAAAGCAUUUCUAACGAUAAAAGAAUAAAAAUUUAUUAAAAGAAAAACUCGAGUAAGUGUCUCCAACUUUGUUGUUUGUUACGCUCCUGUUCGCAACGUGGGAUGUUGCGAGAGACAGAGACAGAGACAGAUAGACAGAGAGAGAGAACGAGAGAGAGAGAGAGAGAAAGAGAGAGAGAGAAGGAUGGAGAGAAGGAUAACGACGAGUGCGAGAGAGAUAGACUAACGAUAGGACGUAGAAAAGAGCGAAAGGGUUACAAACGUACCGGGAACGAGACGAACGUGCUGGUCGAAGAUAAACGAACGGUCUAGCCACUAGAAAGCGAGAGAGAGAAAGAGAGAGAGAAAGAGUCGAAUGACGAAGUGAAUGAACGAGUAUGUCGAAGAAGUAAAGAGAGACAGAGAUGGAUAAGAAGAUAGGAAGAGAGAAAGAGAUAGAUAGAAAGAUAGAUAGAUAGAUAGAAAGAUACAGACAGAGAA